rnacentral:rRNA from 1 species
AAAGCGUGCGCAGGCGGUUAUAUAAGACAGAUGUGAAAUACCCGGGCUCAACCUGGGAACUGCAUUUGUGACUGUAUAGCUGGAGUGCGGCAGAGGGGGAUGGAAUUCCGCGUGUAGCAGUGAAAUGCGUAGAUAUGCGGAGGAACACCGAUGGCGAAGGCAAUCCCCUGGGCCUGCACUGACGCUCAUGCACGAAAGCGUGGGGAGCAAACAGGAUUAGAUACCCUAGU